rnacentral:rRNA from 1 species
CGAUCCCUACGGGGGGCAGCAGUGGGGAAUAUUGGACAAUGGGGGAAACCCUGAUCCAGCGACGCCGCGUGAGUGAAGAAGUAUUUCGGUAUGUAAAGCUCUAUCAGCAGGGAAGAUAAUGACGGUACCUGACUAAGAAGCCCCGGCUAACUACGUGCCAGCAGCCGCGGUAAUACGUAGGGGGCAAGCGUUAUCCGGAUUUACUGGGUGUAAAGGGAGCGUAGGUGGCAGGGCAAGUCAGAUGUGAAAACCCGGGGCUCAACUCCGGGAGUGCAUUUGAAACUGUCCAGCUAGAGAGCAGGAGG